rnacentral:tRNA from 1 species
GCCUAACUGGCUCAGUUGGUAGAGCAUGUGACUCCUUAUCUCAGGGUAGUGAGUUUGAGCCCCAUGUUGGGUA